GCCAUUAAUAAGAACCAAACACAGAUCCAUAGUGCUACAUCCAGCCAUUAAUCAGAACCAAACACAGAUCCAUAGUGCUACAUCCAGCCAUUAAUCAGAACCAAACACAGAUCCAUAGCGCUACAUCCACCCAUUAAUCAGAACCAAACACAGAUCCAUAGCGCUACAUCCAACCGUUAAUCAGAACCAAACACAGAUCCAUAGUGCUACAUCCAGCCAUUAAUCAGAACCAAACACAGAUCCAUAGUGCUACAUCCAGCCAUUAAUCAGAACCAAACACAGAUCCAUAGUGCUAUAUCCA